AGCCACCCAAACAUCAGGUCCAAGACUUGAAAUCUGUUGCUAUGAGGUUGGUACAAGUUCCUCUCAGAUCUGGAGUUGAUCUGAGGUCGUUUGAGGUGCGGGUGAGAUCUCCAUCAACAGAUCUACAGGAAAGGCUGCAGCAGGACAGAUCUGCAAGGUCUGGUUCUAUCUACCUUCUUCCCUAUCUAGAAUAUCCCAAUUUGAGAUCUACAAAUUGAAAGACCUCGGUCCAGGCCUG
rnacentral:lncRNA from 1 species